rnacentral:lncRNA from 1 species
UUUGUGGAAAAGUAUGUUGUAACUUUGGUGAGCCACUUCCCUGUUUUUCCUUAAUAAUCUUGAUGUUCAAUAAUAUGUACUGUCUAUGUUUGCAGAAGAAUGAUAGAUGCAGAUUCUAGGAGUGAUUUGAUGACGAGGACACCCCACGGAAGCAGAAGUUGAUAGCUAGGCUGCUUAAGAGGAUUCGAAAAAUGGAGAAUGAGAUUGUGACCUUUCAAGCAAGGAAGAGGAAGCUCUGGUUUUUUUUGGUUGUAUCUUGGAUGCUGCUUGUUGCUUUGAUGAUUAAAGGGAAAUAGGUCAUUUAAGG